rnacentral:rRNA from 1 species
UGGAUAACCUACCUAUAAGACUGGGAUAACUUCGGGAAACCGGAGCUAAUACCGGAUAAUAUUUUGAACCGCAUGGUUCAAAAGUGAAAGACGGUCUUGCUGUCACUUAUAGAUGGAUCCGCGCUGCAUUAGCUAGUUGGUAAGGUAACGGCUUACCAAGGCAACGAUGCAUAGCCGACCUGAGAGGGUGAUCGGCCACACUGGAACUGAGACACGGUCCAGACUCCUACGGGAGGCAGCAGUAGGGAAUCUUCCGCAAUGGGCGAAAGCCUGACGGAGCAACGCCGCGUGAGUGAUGAAGGUCUUCGGAUCGUAAAACUCUGUUAUUAGGGAAGAACAUAUGUGUAAGUAACUGUGCACAUCUUGACGGUACCUAAUCAGAAAGCCACGGCUAACUACGUGCCAGCAGCCGCGGUAAUACGUAGGUGGCAAGCGUUAUCCGGAAUUAUUGGGCGUAAAGCGCGCGUAGGCGGUUUUUUAAGUCUGAUGUGAAAGCCCACGGCUCAACCGUGGAGGGUCAUUGGAAACUGGAAAACUUGAGUGCAGAAGAGGAAAGUGGAAUUCCAUGUGUAGCGGUGAAAUGCGCAGAGAUAUGGAGGAACACCAGUGGCGAAGGCGACUUUCUGGUCUGUAACUGACGCUGAUGUGCGAAAGCGUGGGGAUCAAACAGGAUUAGAUACCCUGGUAGUCCACGCCGUAAACGAUGAGUGCUAAGUGUUAGGGGGUUUCCGCCCCUUAGUGCUGCAGCUAACGCAUUAAGCACUCCGCCUGGGGAGUACGACCGCAAGGUUGAAACUCAAAGGAAUUGACGGGGACCCGCACAAGCGGUGGAGCAUGUGGUUUAAUUCGAAGCAACGCGAAGAACCUUACCAAAUCUUGACAUCCUUUGACAACUCUAGAGAUAGAGCCUUCCCCUUCGGGGGACAAAGUGACAGGUGGUGCAUGGUUGUCGUCAGCUCGUGUCGUGAGAUGUUGGGUUAAGUCCCGCAACGAGCGCAACCCUUAAGCUUAGUUGCCAUCAUUAAGUUGGGCACUCUAAGUUGACUGCCGGUGACAAACCGGAGGAAGGUGGGGAUGACGUCAAAUCAUCAUGCCCCUUAUGAUUUGGGCUACACACGUGCUACAAUGGACAAUACAAAGGGCAGCGAAACCGCGAGGUCAAGCAAAUCCCAUAAAGUUGUUCUCAGUUCGGAUUGUAGUCUGCAACUCGACUACAUGAAGCUGGAAUCGCUAGUAAUCGUAGAUCAGCAUGCUACGGUGAAUACGUUCCCGGGUCUUGUACACACCGCCCGUCACACCACGAGAGUUUGUAACACCCGAAGCCGGUGGAGUAACCUUUUAGGAGCUAGCCGUCGAAGGUGGGACAAAUGAUUGGGGUGAAGUCGUAACAAGGUAGCCGUAUCGGAAGGUGCGGCUGGAUCACCUCCUUU